rnacentral:rRNA from 1 species
AACGAACGCUGGCGGCAUGCCUAACACAUGCAAGUCGAACGAUGGUCUUCGGAUCAUAGUGGCGCACGGGUGCGUAACGCGUGGGAAUCUGCCCUUAGGUUCGGGAUAACAGUUGGAAACGACUGCUAAUACCGGAUGAUAUCGCGAGAUCAAAGAUUUAUCGCCUAGGGAUGAGCCCGCGUCGGAUUAGCUAGUUGGUGGGGGAAAGGCCUACCAAGGCGACGAUCCGUAGCUGGUCUGAGAGGAUGAUCAGCCACACUGGGACUGAGACACGGCCCAGACUCCUACGGGAGGCAGCAGUGGGGAAUAUUGGACAAUGGGCGCAAGCCUGAUCCAGCAAUGCCGCGUGAGUGAUGAAGGCCUUAGGGUUGUAAAGCACUUUUACCCGGGAUGAUAAUGACAGUACCGGGAGAAUAAGCCCCGGCUAACUCCGUGCCAGCCGCCGCAGUAA